rnacentral:rRNA from 1 species
GAUGAACGCUAGCGGCAGGCCUAAUACAUGCAAGUCGAACGGGAUCUGAGGGUAGCUUGCCACCCGAUUUGAGAGUGGCGCACGGGUGCGUAACGCGUGAGCAACCUACCCAUAUCAGGGGGAUAGCCCGAAGAAAUUCGGAUUAACACCGCAUAAUAAUACGCUAACACAUGUUAAUGUAUUUAAAUAUUUAUAGGAUAUGGAUGGGCUCGCGUGACAUUAGCUAGUUGGUAAGGUAACGGCUUACCAAGGCGACGAUGUCUAGGGGCUCUGAGAGGAGAAUCCCCCACACUGGUACUGAGACACGGACCAGACUCCUACGGGAGGCAGCAGUAAGGAAUAUUGGUCAAUGGGCGCAAGCCUGAACCAGCCAUGCCGCGUGCAGGAUGACUGCCCUAUGGGUUGUAAACUGCUUUUGUUAGGGAAUAAACCUACUUAUGUAUAAGUAGCUGAAUGUACCUAAAGAAUAAGGAUCGGCUAACUCCGUGCCAGCAGCCGCCGCGG